rnacentral:rRNA from 1 species
UUUAAUGGCCGCAGUAUUUUGACUGUGCAAAGGUAGCAUAAUCAUUAGUUUUUUAAUUGAAAACUAGAAUGAAAGGUUGAACGAGAAAAUUACUGUCUCUUUAUAAUUUUAGUAGAAUUUUAUUUUUAAGUUAAAAAGCUUAAAUUUUUUUAAAAGACGAGAAGACCCUAUAGAGUUUUAUAUUUAUAUAAUAAAAUUUUAUUUUGAAUAGUUAAAUUUUUAUUAAAUUAAAUAUUUGAUUGGGGUGAUUAAAAAAUUUAUUAAACUUUUUUUUUAUUAAAACAUUAAUUUAUGAAUUAUUGAUCCAUUAUUUUAUGAUUAAAAGAAUAAAUUACCUUAGGGAUAACAGCGUAAUUUUUUUUUAGAGUUCAAAUCGAUAAAAAAGUUUGCGACCUCGAUGUUGGAUUAAAAUUAAUUUUUGGUGUAGAAGCUAAAAAAUUAGGUCUGUUCGACCUUUAAAAUUUUACAUGAUCUGAGUUUAAACCGGUGUAAGCCAGGUUGGUUUCUAUCUUUAAAAUAUAGAUAUAUUUUAGUACGAAAGGACCAAAUAUAUAUAAAAUUUAUUAUAUUUUGAAUAUUAUU